rnacentral:rRNA from 1 species
GAUGAACGCUGGCUGUGUGGAUAAGGCAUGCAAGUCGAAUGGGUUUAGACCCAUGGCGAACGAGGUAGUAACACGUAGGAUAACGUGCCCCAAAGUCAAGGAUAACCUGGAGAAAUCCAGAAUAAUACUUGGUAGACCCUUCUAUGAUUUAGGUAGGGUAAAGUUUUAACGCUUUGGGAGCGGCCUGCGGAGUAUCAGCUUGUUGGUAGUGUAAUGGACUACCAAGGCUAUGACGCUUAGGGGAGGUGAGAGCCUGACCCCCACCGAUGGAACUGAGACACGGUCCAU